UACGGGAGGCAGCAGUGGGGAAUAUUGCACAAUGGGCGCAAGCCUGAUGCAGCCAUGCCGCGUGUAUGAAGAAGGCCUUCGGGUUGUAAAGUACUUUCAGUCGUGAGGAAGGUGUUAAGGUUAAUAACCUUAGCAAUUGACGUUAGCGACAGAAGAAGCACCGGCUAACUCCGUGCCAGCAGCCGCGGUAAUACGGAGGGUGCGAGCGUUAAUCGGAAUUACUGGGCGUAAAGGGCACGCAGGCGGUUAAUUAAGUUGGAUGUGAAAUCCCCGGGCUUAACCUGGGAAUGGCAUUCAAGACUGGUUAGCUAGAGUCUUGUAGAGGGGGUAGAAUUCCGAUGUGUAGCGGUGAAAUGCGUAGAGAUGUGGAGGAAUACCGGUGGCGAAGGCGGCCCCUGGGACAAAGGCUGACGCUCAUGUGCGAAAGCGUGGGGAGCAAAC
rnacentral:rRNA from 1 species